CGGCAACAGCUCAAAUUUGAAAUCUGGCCCUCGGGUCCGAAUUGUAAUUUGAAGAAGCGAUUAUCACGUUUUCGUUCGGGUUCAAGUUCCUUGGAAUAGGACAUCAGAGAGGGUGAGAAUCCCGU
rnacentral:rRNA from 1 species